UACGGAGGGUGCAAGCGUUAAUCGGAAUUACUGGGCGUAAAGCGUGCGUAGGUGGUUGAUUAAGUUAUCUGUGAAAUCCCCGGGCUUAACCUGGGCAGGUCAGAUGAUACUGAUUGACUCGAGUAUGGGAGAGGGUAGUGGAAUUUCCGGUGUAGCGGUGAAAUGCGUAGAGAUCGGAAGGAACACCAGUGGCGAAGGCGGCUACCUGGCCUAAUACUGACACUGAGGCACGAAAGCGUGGGGAGCGAACAGG
rnacentral:rRNA from 1 species